ACAAACAGAAUCUGACCCCUUUCAAAUAAGUUAAUUCAAGUACACCUAUAUGUACAGUCCAAAAGCAUACACCAAAAAAUAAAGUAGGAUUUUUUUUGCAUAAACUCUUAGAGGAGAGAGAGUAGGAGAGUAACAGAAAUGGCUUCAGCAGUAGUUUCAAGCUCAAGCAGCAGAUAUCCAUGGAAGCAGCAAACCAUAAAAACUUCAUUUUUCUGUCACCAGUCAAAUCCAUUCAUUUCUCUCUCAUUUCCUCAUCCACCUUCUAAGCCAUCCAACAGAUUCGUGUACCUUUGUAGGACUCCCGCCAAUCAAACUACUCCGCCGAAGGCGCUUUCGGCUUCUCAGCCAAUCAAAUCUCCGGAUAUUAAUAACUUCAACCUGUUAUUCCAAAGCCAAUCAUUUUUCACCUCCAAUAAAUUUCGCGCCAUUAUUUUGGUCAUUACUAUUGUUUAUGUGUUGGUUUAAUUUCGGACAAUGGCUAAGAUGCAUUCUGUUUACUUGAAUCUAGUGGGUCUCCGCCUAGUGUUGGUGAUCUUUUUAACCUUCUGAGUGCGAUUUUUUUUGGUGUCCAUAUGUUGAAGACUCGGCAAAUUUCAAGAACCACCACAAAGGAGAAAUUCAUACCACUCCUUGGAAUUGAGGUUAAGAGCCUUGAAGAAGAUUUCAAAUUUUACGUUUGGGCUUGAGUGUUUCAAUUCCUACUUUCCUAGGCAUCCAAAUUUUUAAUAAAAUGCAACUUUUUUUUAUUGCACUUGUUGAUAUCUUUGCCUGUUCUCUGAGCAGUUCUGAGGUUUCAUCCAGGUAUGUGUUGUUGCAGUCUCAUCAAUCACCUGGUUCUUAUUCGAAGGCUGGUUUGGUGAAAGUCAUAGACCUUGGACAUGGGAAUUGUUUUGGGCUUCAUGGGUCUCGUUUCCUUGGAUACCAGCAAUAUACACAGGAGUGUUCUCCAGAAUAUGCUUAUGGGUAGAGAUGGCUGCAGUGCAGGAAGUAUCAGCAACUGAAGCAGCUAUUAUUUACGGACUGGAACCAAUUUGGGGAGCUGGCUUUGCUUGGUUCCUUCUUGGUGAAAGAUGGGGUAUUUAUGGAUGGAUUGGUGCUGCUCUUGUCCUUGGUGGAAGCCUAAUUGCCCAAAUGUUUGGAUCUUUGUCAUCUACUGAUUCUGGAGAUUCUGAGCAGUGAACAAGAAUCAGCAUCGAGUUGAGUUGUUAAGCAGUGAAAUCAAAUCAGCACGAAAAAGUUGAUAAUGUGGCUACUUUUGUGCAAUAUCUGUAUAAAUUUCCUCGCGUCCCUCCCCAUCUUUAAUUUUCUUAACAUUGUUGAUGUGUACAUAAAAUCUGGAUAUUGAGAAGCCCUUUGGCAUGGCCGUGUACAUAAUUAUCUUAAACAUAAUCAUAUAUUCAUAUGAAGUGUACGCUUACUGUAAAGCCGUGUUGCAGGCACUCUUUUGAUUUUUAAGUUUGGCGUCUAUUUCAAAUAUUUCUGGUUGGUACUUUUGAACAAUUACAUUUUGCAAGAUGAUUUUUAAAAGGAUAGAAACAAUAAGGGGGAAAUUUUGUGAAGAACUACCAUGAGAACAACAACCAUUUAAAACUUUUUUUAAAAAAAAACUACCACAAAAACAUAAAAAGUUUAAAUAGCACUACCUUAUCAAGUUUUCCGGCUAGAAUCUUCGGUCAUGGGGCCCUAAUCUCUUCAUUUCAAUCGAUUCAGGGUGAGAGAAGAAGCAAAAUUGUUUGCCAAACUCAAUUGUUUGACAUUUGCUACUAGGGAAAACACCUCGCUUCACAUUUGCUACCGGUUUAAUUAAUUUAUUUAUUUAUUUAUUAUUUUUUUUUUAACUUUGCUACCACCUAAAAUAGCGUUUGUUAAAAAUCACUACCACUUAACGGAAUCCUAAUUCCGUUAAGUUUAUUCUAAAAUUUUUUUUAAAAAAAAAACAAAAACAAAACAAAAAAAUCAGCCACCCAAAACAUCUUGCUUCUCCCAUUAGCUGUAACACCCUAGAAAUUCCUUUCCUUAAAAUACCUCUUUUACCCUUUUGAAAAUACGAAUUAGGAAUAUCUAAGACAAUACCGCCACCGUAAAAACGGCUAAAGCAACUAUCAAAGAUACACAGCGGAAGACUUAAAAAUCAAAACCAUUCAAAAUAAAGUCAACUUAAAAGUCAACAAACGAAAGUAAAGUUUUAAAACCAAAACCAACGAAGUCAAUUAAAAUCAAACUACAACUUGGAGCCAUUAAAGACCCUUAUUCAAACCAAACCCAAACAAAUCCAAAUCCAAAUCCUUGCGUUAGUCCACAUAUAAAAUAACACCAUAAAUAUUCAAUGCAUAAAGCACAUCGUAAACUAAUAGAAACUAGCAUGAUUCGCUCUUCACUCAU